AAAAUACUUCCUCCGUCCCGAAAUUAUUGUCUUACAUUUGUCUAGAUACGGAUGUAUCUAAUACUAAAACAUGAUUAGAUACAUUCGUAUCUAGAAAAAUAUAAGACAAAAUUUUUGGAACGGAGGGAGUAGUAA
rnacentral:pre_miRNA from 1 species